AACGAACGCUGGCGGCAUGCCUAACACAUGCAAGUCGAACGAGACCUUCGGGUCUAGUGGCGCACGGGUGCGUAACGCGUGGGAACCUGCCCUUAGGUUCGGAAUAACUCCCCGAAAGGGGUGCUAAUACCGGAUAAUGUCUUCGGACCAAAGAUUUAUCGCCUUUGGAUGGGCCCGCGUUGGAUUAGCUAGUUGGUAGGGUAAAAGCCUACCAAGGCGACGAUCCAUAGCUGGUCUGAGAGGAUGAUCAGCCACACUGGGACUGAGACACGGCCCAGACUCCGGGGGAGGGAAGAAGGGGGGAAUAUUGGAGAAGGGCAGAAAGCUUAAGCGAUCAAUGCCGGGGGAUGGGAAAAGGCUUGAGGGUUGAAAAGCUCUUUUACCGGGGAGGAAAAGGAGGGGACGGGGAAAAGAGGCCCGGGCUAACUCGGUG
rnacentral:rRNA from 1 species